GUGCCAGCCGCCGCGGUAAUACGGAGGGUGCAAGCGUUAAUCGGAAUUACUGGGCGUAAAGCGCACGUAGGUGGCCGAGUAAGUCGGAUGUGAAAGCCCUGGGCUCAACCUGGGAAUUGCAUUCGAUACUGUUCGGCUAGAGUACGGUAGAGGGAGGUAGAAUUCCUAGUGUAGCGGUGAAAUGCGUAGAUAUUAGGAGGAAUACCGGUGGCGAAGGCGGCCUCCUGGACUGAUACUGACACUGAGGUGCGAAAGCGUGGGGAGCAAACAGGAUUAGAAACCCGAGUAGUCC
rnacentral:rRNA from 1 species